rnacentral:rRNA from 1 species
UGGGGAAUUUUGGACAAUGGGCGAAAGCCUGAUCCAGCAAUGCCGCGUGAGUGAAGAAGGCCUUCGGGUUGUAAAGCUCUUUUGUCAGGGAAGAAACGGUGAGGGCUAAUAUCCCUUGAUAAUGACGGUACCUGAAGAAUAAGCACCGGCUAACUACGUGCCAGCAGCCGCGGUAAUACGUAGGGUGCAAGCGUUAAUCGGAAUUACUGGGCGUAAAGCGUGCGCAGGCGGUUUUGUAAGUCUGAUGUGAAAUCCCCGGGCUCAACCUGGGAAUUGCAUUGGAGACUGCAAGGCUAGAAUCUGGCAGAGGGGGGUAGAAUUCCACGUGUAGCAGUGAAAUGCGUAGAUAUGUGGAGGAACACCGAUGGCGAAGGCAGCCCCCUGGGUCAAGAUUGACGCUCAUGCACGAAAGCGUGGGGAGCAAACA